GUUGAACGCUGGCGGAAUGCUUUACACAUGCAAGUCGAACGGCAGCACGGACUUCGGUCUGGUGGCGAGUGGCGAACGGGUGAGUAAUGUAUCGGAGCGUGCCCAGUCGUGGGGGAUAACGUAGUGAAAAUUACGCUAAUACCGCAUACGAUCUAUGGAUGAAAGCGGGGGAUCGCAAGACCUCGCGCGAUUGGAGCGGCCGAUAUCAGAUUAGGUAGGUGGUGGGGUAAAGGCCCACCAAGCCAACGAUCUGUAGCUGGUCUGAGAGGACGACCAGCCACACUGGAACUGAGACACGGUCCAGACUCCUACGGGAGGCAGCAGUGGGGAAUUUUGGACAAUGGGCGAAAGCCUGAUCCAGCCAUUCCGCGUGCAGGAUGAAGGCCCUCGGGUUGUAAACUGCUUUUGUACAGAACGAAAAGGUUUCUACUAAUACUAGGAGCUCAUGACGGUACUGUAAGAAUAAGCACCGGCUAACUACGUGCCAGCCGCCGCCGUAA
rnacentral:rRNA from 1 species